CUCCUGAAAGGCCAGUCCAAGACCGAGGCAAGGACCUUUGGCUCCUUUGGCUUGGUGUGAGAUGCCCACGCAGCCAGGGUGCUCUACACUUGAUGCAUCAUCUUUUGACAGACACGGGGCAAACUCUGCUCCUCCCUUCUGGCCUGGGUUGCAAUGAUGGAUUAAGUAGUAGGGCAGAGUAGCAGGAGUCCUGGUGCAAACAACACAUUUGAAGUGAACCCAUGGACAAGUUUGCUUGCAUGUAGAAGAGGUUGCUGGUGACAGGAAUUCGCCAUCCAGGACCUCUGAAGUGAGCAAUGACAAGCUGCCUUGUUCUGCCCCGUGAAGGUGGGACCUCUGGUUCCUUCUUCAGGUCUCCUCCUCCCUGUGGCUCUGUCUCCUGCAUGUCACCCCCUGCCUCGCCCUGCUCUGGUGUCCCUGUGAUCCACUGACCGCCUGCAGCUCUGCAUGAACUUCCUGGAGCAGGAAUUGAGGUGUCCAAGCUGCACACAGGCAGUGUGUCCCUGCUCAAGAUCCAUCCCUGCCUGCUUCCUUGGCAUGUAACCCCUCUAAACCCUUCUCCAUGUGUGUGUAACACUUUGGAAGUGGUUGCUAGGCUCUUGCAGGAAACACAGCAGAGCAGGCAAAAUCCUUCGUGGUAAUUGGUAGGAAUACUCCAGCCACCUCACUGCUGCCUCCCUCAUCUUUCCAUGGCAACACUCUCCCUACAGCAGCCCAGGUGCUUGUGGUUGGAUAUAGCAGGAGUUUUGAGCCCUCCAUCUUCCAAAUCGUCCCUUGGAGCAUGGAGGGAACAUCUGUACUUUUAAAGGAUGGGCAUCAUGUGAUACAUCAAACAGCUUCCCUUGCUCUCACCAUAUUCCUUUUCUGUGCUGUCAGAGACAGAAAACUUUGGAAGCAUGCCUAAAUUGAA